UCCAACUCCUUUUCCCAAAAAAAAAAAUCCCAACUCUCUGUCAUGUUACCUUCAAUUCAAAAGAAGACAUUAAGAAAUGUCUUGAUCUCAGUGAUAAAAUUCGAAGCCACUACUCCCCACUAUCCUUUAUUCAUAGUAAUUUCGUUAUCAAGUCUUUCACCGAGUGGUGGGACAGCUAUUAUUCUCGAUAUAAUCGCUCUAUGGAUGAUGUUAUGAAGAGGUCGAUAAAAACCUUUCCUAGUACUUCUGAAGUACUCCCUCUAAAAGCUCCGAAAAGAAAAGCGGAAACAUCGAGACAACAUAAACAAAAAAUGUAGAAAACUUCCACCACAGUUUUAACGGCAAGAAAGAAAGAAUCUUCUACUGAAGAAUCAUCUGAUAAAAGUGCCAAACUUUCUCCAGAGUAGACUUCCUCUCAUUCGAAUGAUUCCUCUUCUGCUUCUAGCAGUUCUGAAUCGAGUAGCACGUCGAGAAGCUCGACUCGCUCCCAACAUUCUGAACCCGAAAAGCCGCAAAGAUUAAUGCACCCUUUCAACAACCUCAUUCCACCUCAAUGGCAAAGGUUACCUCUGGUAGAGAAGGGGAGCGACCUUCGAGCUCAUCACCCGAUGGUUUUACAUGUACACUUCUUAUGACAAAGAAAGGGUGUGUCUUCAAUUUAAAUUAAAGGAGUUAUUAGAGCCUUAUCUUUGAAGACUUGGAAUGCCAAGUAUUUGUUGUUUGUUUUUUUUAGACAUAGUACUUCUAAAACUAUCCUCUUGUUAUUUAUAUUUCUUUACCUAUAUUAAACAUUAUUCUCCUAA